rnacentral:rRNA from 1 species
CCUACGGGUGGCAGCAGUGGGGAAUAUUGGACAAUGGGCGAAAGCCUGAUCCAGCCAUGCCGCGUUUGUGAAGAAGGCCUUCGGGUUGUAAAGCACUUUCAGUGGGGAAGAAAGCCUUGGGGCUAAUACCCUCGAGGAAGGACAUCACCCACAGAAGAAGCACCGGCUAACUCCGUGCCAGCAGCCGCGGUAAUACGGAGGGUGCGAGCGUUAAUCGGAAUUACUGGGCGUAAAGCGCGCGUAGGCGGUCUGAUAAGCCGGUUGUGAAAGCCCCGGGCUCAACCUGGGAACGGCAUCCGGAACUGUCAGGCUAGAGUGCAGGAGAGGAAGGUAGAAUUCCCGGUGUAGCGGUGAAAUGCGUAGAGAUCGGGAGGAAUACCAGUGGCGAAGGCGGCCUUCUGGACUGACACUGACGCUGAGGUGCGAAAGCGUGGGUAGCAAACAGGAUUAGAUACCCUUGUAGUC